AGCGUUCACCUAAGGAAAGCGAAGAUGAAAAUGAUGACAAAGAUGAAAAAGGCAACGGUAAAAACGGCAAAGGAAACAAGGGCAAAGGCAACAAAGGAAAAGGCAACAAAGGAAAAGGCAGAGGAAACAAUUCUUCAAGUGAUGAAGAUGACAGCAACAAAAGCUCUUCAGAAGAAAAGGUAAAAAAAAAAAGAU